CCUACGGGAGGCAGCAGUGGGGAAUAUUGCACAAUGGGGGAAACCCUGAUGCAGCGACGCCGCGUGAGUGAAGAAGUAUUUCGGUACGUAAAGCUCUAUCAGCAGGGAAGUAAAUGACGGUACCUGACUAAGAAGCUCCGGCUAACUACGUGCCAGCAGCCGCGGUAAUACGUAGGGGGCAGGCGUUAUCCGGAUUUACUGGGUGUAAAGGGAGCGUAGACGGCAGCGCAAGGCUGGAGUGAAAUCCCAUGGCUUAACCAUGGAACUGCUGUGGAAACUGUGCAGCUAGAGUGCAGGAGAGGUGAGCGGAAUUCCUAGUGUAGCGGUGAAAUGCGUAGAUAUUAGGAGGAACACCAGUGGCGAAGGCGGCUUACUGGACUGUAACUGACGUUGAGGCUCGAAAGCGUGGGGAGCAAACAGGAUUAGAUACCCGGGUAGUC
rnacentral:rRNA from 1 species